GCCGUGGGGGGCCAGGGACCCUACCCGAGAUGGUGGUGAGCAGGUGGAGGCCCGUGGGGGGUCACAGGGGCCGCGGGGGGUGCUGCGGGGGGUGCCGCGGGGGGCCGGGGACCCUACCCGAGAUGGUGGUGAGCAGGUGGAGGCCCGUGGGGGUCACAGGGGCCGCGGGGGCGCCGUGGGGGGCCCCAUGGGGGGCCGGGGACCCUACCCGAGAUGGUGGUGAGC